rnacentral:rRNA from 1 species
GACGGGGGAUGCAAGUGUUAUCCGGAAUCACUGGGCGUAAAGCGUCUGCAGGUGGUUUCCUAAGUCCACUGUUAAACCUUGAGGCUCAACCUCAAAUCUGCAUUGGAAACUAGGAGACUUGAGUAUAGUAGGGGUAGAGGGAAUUUCCAGUGGAGCGGUGAAAUGCGUAGAUAUUGGAAAGAACACCGAUGGCGAAGGCACUCUACUGGGAUAUUACUGACACUCAGAGACGAAAGCUAGGGGAGCAAAUGGG